rnacentral:rRNA from 1 species
AGUGAACGCUGGCGGUAGGCCUAACACAUGCAAGUCGAACGGCAGCACAGUAAGAGCUUGCUCUUACGGGUGGCGAGUGGCGGACGGGUGAGGAAUACAUCGGAAUCUACUUUUUCGUGGGGGAUAACGUAGGGAAACUUACGCUAAUACCGCAUACGACCUACGGGUGAAAGCAGGGGAUCUUCGGAUCUUGCGCGAUUGAAUGAGCCGAUGUCGGAUUAGCUAGUUGGCGGGGUAAAGGCCCACCAAGGCGACGAUCCGUAGCUGGUCUGAGAGGAUGAUCAGCCACACUGGAACUGAGACACGGUCCAGACUCCUACGGGAGGCAGCAGUGGGGAAUAUUGGACAAUGGGCGCAAGCCUGAUCCAGCCAUACCGCGUGGGUGAAGAAGGCCUUCGGGUUGUAAAGCCCUUUUGUUGGGAAAGAAAAGCAGCAGGUUAAUACCCCGCUGUUCUGACGGUACCCAAAGAAUAAGCACCGGCUAACUUCGU